GAGUUUGAUCAUGGCUCAGGACGAACGCUGGCGGCGCGCUUAACACAUGCAAGUCGAGCGAGAACCAGGCCUUCGGGCCUGGGGACAGCGGCGAACGGGGUGAGUAACACGUGGGUAAUCAACCCUCGAUACUGGGAUAGCCCGGGGAAACCCGGAUUAAUACCGGAUGGCCCUUUGGAUCCUCGGAUCUGAAGGAAAAGGUAGCUUCGGCCUCCGAUCGAGGACGAGCCCGCGGCGGAUUAGCUUGUUGGUGAGGUAACGGCUCACCAAGGCGACGAUCCGUAGCUGGUCUGAGAGGACGAUCAGCCACACUGGGACUGAGACACGGCCCAGACUCCUACGGGAGGCAGCAGUGGGGAAUCUUGCGCUAAUGCGGGAAACCGUGACGCAGCGACGCCGCGUGAGGG
rnacentral:rRNA from 1 species